CGGAGGAUAUAAGGUGGCUCAUUUUCCUGCGCCGCGCCCUUUAAGGUCAGAUUUUUCUGGUCCUUUGCGUAAUUUUCUUAGCGUGAGGUCUGGUGGUUGGUUGCGGAGGUUUGAAGACUGGAUGCUUGAGGUGGCUGCGGCUAAAGAUCUGGAGGAGACGUUAUCUGACGUCGAAGCUUCUGUUGGUGACUUGAUUAGUGCGAAGGAGUUUGAGGAGAUGGCGGCGAUUACCUUUGAAUUUGGAGAGUCUACUGUGAGGGAGGAGGAUAUUGCCGAUAUGGUCGAGGCUAGGUUUUUUAAGGAAGGUCGAGCGAAGGCUCCUCCUGCGGGUCAGACGGUACCUGCACCUGAAGAGGGUUAUGCGGU
rnacentral:lncRNA from 1 species